rnacentral:rRNA from 1 species
GACGAACGCUGGCGGCGUGCCUAAUACAUGCAAGUAGAACGCACAGUUUAUACCGUAGCUUGCUACACCAUAGACUGUGAGUUGCGAACGGGUGAGUAACGCGUAGGUAACCUGCCUGGUAGCGGGGGAUAACUAUUGGAAACGAUAGCUAAUACCGCAUAAUAUUAAUUAUUGCAUGAUAAUUAAUUGAAAGGUGCAAUUGCACCACUACCAGAUGGACCUGCGUUGUAUUAGCUAGUAGGUGAGGUAACGGCUCACCUAGGCGACGAUACAUAGCCGACCUGGGAGGGUGAUCGGCCACACUGGGACUGGGACACGGCCCAGACUCCUACGGGAGGCAGCCGUAGGGAAUCUUCGGCAAUGGACGAAAGUCUGACCGGGCAACGCCGCGUGAGUGAAGAAAGGUUUCGGGUCGUAAAGCUCUGUUGUAAGAGAAGAACGGGUGUGAGAGUGGAAAGUUCACACUGUGACGGUAUCUUACCAGAAAGGGACGGCUAACUACGUG